AUUGAACGCUGGCGGCAGGCCUAACACAUGCAAGUCGAACGGUAGCACAGAGAGCUUGCUCUCGGGUGACGAGUGGCGGACGGGUGAGUAAUGUCUGGGAAACUGCCCGAUGGAGGGGGAUAACUACUGGAAACGGUAGCUAAUACCGCAUAACGUCGCAAGACCAAAGAGGGGGACCUUCGGGCCUCUUGCCAUCGGAUGUGCCCAGAUGGGAUUAGCUUGUAGGUGAGGUAACGGCUCACCUAGGCGACGAUCCCUAGCUGGUCUGAGAGGAUGACCAGCCACACUGGAACUGAGACACGGUCCAGACUCCUACGGGAGGCAGCAGUGGGGAAUAUUGCACAAUGGGCGCAAGCCUGAUGCAGCCAUGCCGCGUGUAUGAAGAAGGCCUUCGGGUUGUAAAGUACUUUCAGCGGGGAGGAAGGGAGUGAGGUUAAUAACCUCAUUCAUUGACGUUACCCGCAGAGGAAGCACCGGCUAACUCCGUGCCAGCAGCCGCGGUAAUACGGAGGGUGCGAGCGUUAAUCGGAAUUACUGGGCGUAAAGCGCACGCAGGCGGUCUGUCAAGUCGGAUGUGAAAUCCCCGGGCUCAACCUGGGAACUGCAUUCGAAACUGGCAGGCUGGAGUCUUGUAGAGGGGGGUAGAAUUCCAGGUGUAGCGGUGAAAUGCGUAGAGAUCUGGAGGAAUACCGGUGGCGAAGGCGGCCCCCUGGACAAAGACUGACGCUCAGGUGCGAAAGCGUGGGGAGCAAACAGGAUUAGAUACCCUGGUAGUCCACGCUGUAAACGAUGUCGACUUGGAGGUUGUUCCCUUGAGGAGUGGCUUCCGGAGCUAACGCGUUAAGUCGACCGCCUGGGGAGUACGGCCGCAAGGUUAAAACUCAAAUGAAUUGACGGGGGCCCGCACAAGCGGUGGAGCAUGUGGUUUAAUUCGAUGCAACGCGAAGAACCUUACCUACUCUUGACAUCCAGAGAACUUAGCAGAGAUGCUUUGGUGCCUUCGGGAACUCUGAGACAGGUGCUGCAUGGCUGUCGUCAGCUCGUGUUGUGAAAUGUUGGGUUAAGUCCCGCAACGAGCGCAACCCUUAUCCUUUGUUGCCAGCGAUUCGGUCGGGAACUCAAAGGAGACUGCCAGUGAUAAACUGGAGGAAGGUGGGGAUGACGUCAAGUCAUCAUGGCCCUUACGAGUAGGGCUACACACGUGCUACAAUGGCAUAUACAAAGAGAAGCGACCUCGCGAGAGCAAGCGGACCUCAUAAAGUAUGUCGUAGUCCGGAUUGGAGUCUGCAACUCGACUCCAUGAAGUCGGAAUCGCUAGUAAUCGUGGAUCAGAAUGCCACGGUGAAUACGUUCCCGGGCCU
rnacentral:rRNA from 1 species